AGAGUCCUGGGGAACAGACACAUUAUAAUACAGACACUCACUGUAGAGGUCCUUAGAGUCCUGGGGAACAGACACAUUAUAAUACAGACACUCACUGUAGAGGUCCUUAGAGUCCUGGGGAACAGACACAUUAUAAUACAGACACUCACUGUAGAGGUCCUUAGAGUCCUGGGGAACAGACACAUUAUAAUACAGACACUCACUGUAGAGGUCCUUAGAGUCCUGGGGAACAGACACAUUAUAAUACAGACACUCACUGUAGAGGUCCUUAGAGUCCUGGGGAACAGACACAUUAUAAUACAGACACUCACUGUAGAGGUCCUUAGAGUCCUGGGGAACAGACACAUUAUAAUACAGACACUCACUGUAGAGGUCCUUAGAGUCCUGGGGAACAGACACAUUAUAAUACAGACACAUUAUAAUACAGACACUCACUGUAGAGGUCCUUAGAGUCCUGGGGAACAGACACAUUAUAAUACAGACACUCACUGUAGAGGUCCUUAGAGUCCUGGGGAACAGACACAUUAUAAUACAGACACUCACUGUAGAGGUCCUUAGAGUCCUGGGGAACAGACACAUUAUAAUACAGACACAUUAUAAUACAGACACUCACUGUAGAGGUCCUUAGAGUCCUGGGGAACAGACACAUUAUAAUACAGACACUCACUGUAGAGGUCCUUAGAGUCCUGGGGAACAGACACAUUAUAAUACAGACACAUUAUAAUACAGACACUCACUGUAGAGGUCCUUAGAGUCCUGGGGAACAGACACAUUAUAAUACAGACACAUUAUAAUACAGACACUCACUGUAGAGGUCCUUAGAGUCCUGGGGAACAGACACAUUAUAAUACAGACACUCACUGUAGAGGUCCUUAAGAGUCCUGGGGAACAGACACAUUAUAAUACAGACACUACAGGUCCUUAGGUGUGAAUCACUAAAUUUACCAGCUAACUUUGACAAACAUUCAGACAACGUGAUAAUCUACUUCCUCGCGGCACAACGCCUCAUGGCACAACGCCUCUCGGCACAACGCCUCAUGGCACAACGCCUCACGGCACAACGCC